CCCAUUACUUUCCAUUUUUUAUUGCCCUCUCCCCUUUAUUACUAUCUCCCAGUUUUGUUCAGAUGUUCGUUGUAUUAAUAUUAUGUUCUUAGACAAGGAAGCCCUUUCUCCUACCUGGGGGGUGGUGAAUGGUGGUGAAUUCUGAUGAGGCUAAGCCAGUGGUUUUAAUACUGACUGUACAGUGGAAUCACCUGGGGAUCUUAAAAAAAAAAAAACAAACAAUAUCUGGCCCCAACAGUUUUCUUACAUUUUCUUACAUUGCAAGCUGGCUUAAGGACCAUUGGCCUAAGAUAAUCAUGGCAAUUCCAUUCUGGAAACUAUGAUCAGUUUAGGCGUGAGCAUGUGAACAGAAUCCUGGCCAAUUAAACGUAAGGAGAAUUCCUGUAGGAUGCUUCUCUGAAAGGUUUUCCUUCCUGAUUUGAGGGGGCAGGCGGUGGGGGACUACCUUUUUAGACUGAGGGCUGCUUGGAGCAGUGGCAACCAUCACGGUGGCCAUGAAGGGCCAUGCCUAGGGUGCAAGCUAACAUGCUGAGCAGGGCCGGCUGCAAGGUGGAAAGCGCCUGACUCCAUAGCAAUGAGGUUGUCACUGAGGAUGAACCAACUCGCGUCUCUACUGGCUUUAGGUCUCAUCAACUCACCCUGAAUAUCAUUACCAAUCUCCUGAAUGUUUUCAAUGCCUCUCCGAUGCCUACAAGGUCAAGAACAAAUUCUGCAACUGCACCUAAACCACUGUUCCACUUGUAUGGCCUGUUAUUCUUUUACAUAGAUCC
rnacentral:lncRNA from 10 species